rnacentral:ncRNA from 2 species
GUGCGUCUUCAGGGCGGGGCGAAAUUCCCCACCGGCGGUAUGCCGGCAGCGCGAAAGCGUGAGCCGGUGAGCCCGCGAGCGCCCGCAUCGCGCGGUCUUUUCGAGUCGGAAAGAAACGCAGCGGGGUCAGCAGAUCUGGUGCGAAGCCAGAGCCGACGGUCAUAGUCCGGAUGGAAGAAGAUGUGC